AGAGUUUGAUCCUGGCUCAGGAUGAACGCUGGCGGCAUGCCUAAUACAUGCAAGUCGAACGAGAGGAAGGAAAGCUUGCUUUUCUGAAUCUAGUGGCGAACGGGUGAGUAACACGUAGGUAACCUGCCCAUGUGCCCGGGAUAACUUCUGGAAACGGAUGCUAAAACCGGAUAGGUAGCAGACAAGCAUUUGACUGCUAUUAAAGUGGCUAAGGCCAUGAACAUGGAUGGACCUGCGGUGCAUUAGCUAGUUGGUGAGGUAACGGCCCACCAAGGCGACGAUGCAUAGCCGGCCUGAGAGGGCGGAUGGCCACAUUGGGACUGAGACACGGCCCAAACUCCUACGGGAGGCAGCAGUAGGGAAUUUUCGUCAAUGGGGGGAACCCUGAACGAGCAAUGCCGCGUGAGUGAAGAAGGUCUUCGGAUCGUAAAGCUCUGUUGUAAGAGAAAAACGACAUUCAUAGGGAAUGAUGAGUGAGUGAUGGUAUCUUACCAGAAAGUCACGGCUAACUACGUGCCAGCAGCCGCGGUAAUACGUAGGUGGCGAGCGUUAUCCGGAAUGAUUGGGCGUAAAGGGUGCGUAGGUGGCAGAACAAGUCUGGAGUAAAAGGUAUGGGCUCAACCCGUACUGGCUCUGGAAACUGUUCAGCUAGAGAACAGAAGAGGACGGCGGAACUCCAUGUGUAGCGGUAAAAUGCGUAGAUAUAUGGAAGAACACCGGUGGCGAAGGCGGCCGUCUGGUCUGUUGCUGACACUGAAGCACGAAAGCGUGGGGAGCAAAUAGGAUUAGAUACCCUGGUAGUCCACGCCGUAAAC
rnacentral:rRNA from 1 species